rnacentral:rRNA from 1 species
UACGUAGGCAGCAAGCGUUGUUCGGAGUUACUGGGCGUAAAGAGUGCGUAGGCGGUGCUCUAAGUUUGGUGUGAAAUCUCCCGGCUCAACUGGGAGGGUGCGCCGAAUACUGAGAGGCUAGAGUGCGGGAGAGGAAAGUGGAAUUCCUGGUGUAGCGGUGAAAUGCGUAGAUAUCAGGAGGAACACCGGUGGUGUAAACGGCUUUCUGGACCGUAACUGACGCUGAGGCACGAAAGCGUGGGAAGCAAACAGG